GUAGAAGGAUAGACAGUCUAGACAGAAAAGCAGGGACCACAAUUACAUUCUUCUUAUCCAAUGAUGUCGUGAGACCUCAUUCAGCUUGCUUUCCUCUUGAAAUGAGCUGUAGAGACGAAGUCCAAUAAAAGCCCGAGCUUGAACCGAGAACUGCCACUCACAUCACAACUCCAGCCAGCCACCAACCCCCUCCUGAGGAUCUCCAGAAUCUCCACCGUGUCAUUGCAAAUGGCCAGAUUUCGUUCUGAAUAACAUUCCGUUAUGGAUAUACACACCACUUCUACUUGAUCCAUUCUGUUGAUGGGCGCUUGGACUGUUCCCAUAACUCAGCUAUCAUCACAAGUUUUCUGAAAGAGGGAAAAUGUACUUGAGAAACCCCCUGAAGGAGAUUCAUCUGCACCUGGCCCUGAUUUAGAAGAUGAGACCUUGAGAUUUCUAUCAACCCCCCAAUGAGAUGCAUCUUUGGGAAUCUUUGGAGAGGGAAAUGAGAAAGACAGUUCACAUGUGAGGCUCUGCUAAGCUGAAGACUGGUGAGAGUGUGUUGCUCUCUGCCUUCGAGAUUGCCCACGAGAUUGCCCAGCCAGUCUCAGCAGCAACCCAACCGCACAAGGGACCUUGCAUCGCCAACUGCCACCACCGCCUCCUUCUAGGUUUUAAACUGGG